rnacentral:rRNA from 1 species
UACGGGGGGAGCAAGCGUUGUUCGGAUUUACUGGGCGUAAAGGGCUCGGUAGGCGGCCAACUAAGUCAGACGUGAAAUCCCUCGGCUUAACCGGGGAACUGCGGUCUGAUACUGGAUGGCUUGGAGUUUGGGAGAGGGACGGCGGAAUUCCAGGUGUAGCGGUGAAAUGGCGUAGAUAUCUGGAGGAAUACCGAUGGCGAAGGCAG